rnacentral:rRNA from 1 species
UAAUAGCGUAUAUUAAAGUUGUUGCAGUUAAAAAGCUCGUAGUCGGAUGUCGGGCUCGGGCAGGCUGUCGGCUUCGGUCGGACGGCAGGCUCGGGUCUUUCUGCCUGAGGAUCCAUCUCAUUCACUUGGGGUGGGGACGCAGGCCGUUUACUUUGAAAAAAUUAGAGUGUUCAAAGCAGGCCUACGCUUGAAUACAUUAGCAUGGAAUAAUGGAAUAGGACUUUGGUGCUAUUUUGUUGGUUUAUGGGACCGAAGUAAUGAUUAACAGGGACAGUUGGGGCCGUUUAUAUUCCGUAGUCAGAGGUGAAAUUCUUGGAUUUACGGAAGAUAAACUACUGCGAAAGCAUUCGGCAAGGAUGUUUUCGUUAA